rnacentral:lncRNA from 1 species
UAAUUGGGUUGGCUAGCACAUGUACCAAAAUAUGCUUGAGAUGGCUUACGCAGACAAAGUUUGCUUGGCUAGGCACCACUCUAGUCCUACGCGAACUCUAUUUGGUGAAAGAUCUGGCUUUGGUCAGUAGUAGGCUUUGGUCGGUUUGGUAGUUGGACAUGUGUAGGCUAGUGCGCACACACUCAUAAUGUCGACACGUAAGGUGUCCGUCCUCUAAGGAGCAAGAAUGACUUUUUCUAGCUAGUUCAAUUGUUGUGGCAAGUAAUGGGAUCAAAGAUUCGCGGAUCUCGCAAUGUUUUCCGCUGGAUAAUGCUAUUUUCAACGCGAGUUUCAUUGUCUAUUUC